rnacentral:rRNA from 1 species
UUCCGUAGGUGAACCUGCGGAAGGAUCAUUACCGAGUUUUCGGGCUUCGGCUCGACUCUCCCACCCUUUGUGAACGUACCUCUGUUGCUUUGGCGGCUCCGGCCGCCAAAGGACCUCCAAACUCCAGUCAGUAAACGCAGACGUCUGAUAAACAAGUUAAUAAACUAAAACUUUCAACAACGGAUCUCUUGGUUCUGGCAUCGAUGAAGAACGCAGCGAAAUGCGAUAAGUAAUGUGAAUUGCAGAAUUCAGUGAAUCAUCGAAUCUUUGAACGCACAUUGCGCCCCUUGGUAUUCCGGGGGGCAUGCCUGUUCGAGCGUCAUUACAACCCUCAAGCUCUGCUUGGAAUUGGGCACCGUCCUCACUGCGGACGCGCCUCAAAGACUCUCGGCUGGUGCUGUCAGCCCUCAAGCGUAGUAGAAUACACCUCGCUUGUUUGGCGUCGCCCGCCGGACG